rnacentral:ncRNA from 2 species
UAUAAUUACUAUGCCGUCGGUGCCCCGUAAAAAGGGUCAAAAGGGAACACGGUGCGAAUCCGUGACAGCCCCCGCUACUGUCAGUGCUUAUGCGGCUUCAUAUCCAUUGGGGUCUUAAGAUCUUCGAGAAGGGAAGUCCGCUUAAAGGCAUGAGCCAGGAAACCUGCCGAUGAGCUUUACUUAUU